rnacentral:lncRNA from 1 species
UCUUCUCAUCGUCAAUGCUUCCCAGCAGAUGCGUCUGUCUUGAUCUCCAAUGCCUGAGAACAAUGACACGUUCCCUAAACAAUUAGUGCAUAAAUGGCCGAGAGGGCGGAAUUGAAAGGAAGUGCAGCGAGCCAGAAUUUAGAUGCCCGCCGAGUUUCCAGCCAAAAGUAGCAUCAAAGUCUGUGGGAAAUGAUGCUUCACAGAUGCAAAAGGGUUUCUCAGGACUCCUGGGUCUCUGGAGCCCGUGUUUACACCUCUUGAAGUCAUCUCCAUCAGCAUCUCCACGUUUGAACCACUCAGCUUGGAUUCUGACUGG